rnacentral:rRNA from 1 species
GACGAACGCUGGCGGCGUGCUUAACACACGCAAGUCGAGCGGGAUCCAACCGGUGGCAACACCGGGAAGAUCUAGCGGCGAACGGGUGAGUAACACGUGAGCAACCUGCCCCGAAGACUGGGAUAACACCGGGAAACCGGUGCUAAUACCGGAUGUCGUCAUUAGGCCGCAUGACCUGAUGAUGAAAGGAUUCAUCGCUUCGGGAGGGGCUCGCGGGCUAUCAGCUUGUUGGGGGGUAACGGCCUACCAAGGCGACGACGGCUAGCUGGUCUGAGAGGACGACCAGCCACACUGGGACUGAGACACGGCCCAGACUCCUACGGGAGGCAGCAGUGGGGAAUCUUGCGCAAUGGGCGAAAGCCUGACGCAGCGACGCCGC